rnacentral:rRNA from 1 species
GACGAACGCUGGCGGCGUGCUUAACACAUGCAAGUCGAACGGAAGGCCCUGCUUUUGUGGGGUGCUCGAGUGGCGAACGGGUGAGUAACACGUGAGUAACCUGCCCUUGACUUUGGGAUAACUUCAGGAAACUGGGGCUAAUACCGGAUAGGAGCUCCUGCUGCAUGGUGGGGGUUGGAAAGUUUCGGCGGUUGGGGAUGGACUCGCGGCUUAUCAGCUUGUUGGUGGGGUAGUGGCUUACCAAGGCUUUGGCGGGUAGCCGGCCUGAGAGGGUGACCGGCCACAUUGGGACUGAGAUACGGCCCAGACUCCUACGGGAGGCAGCAGUGGGGAAUAUUGCACAAUGGGCGGAAGCCUGAUGCAGCAACGCCGCGUGCGGGAUGACGGCCUUCGGGUUGUAAACCGCUUUCGCCUGUGACGAAGCGUGAGUGACGGUAAUGGGUAAAGAAGCACCGGCUAACUACGUG